CAAAUGGACCAAGACACCUGCUGUUCCUUACUUGUUUGUCUGCUGCUCUGAAAGGACAAUCAAUGCGAAGACAAAUGUGUUUACCUUGAGGAGGCUAGAAACAUACAAAAUGCCUGCUGAGCUCAAAUGUGUGGACUUGCUUCCUCCCCAUAAGGAAGCAGGACCCUCUGGUCUGAACUAUAAACUGAGCUCAAUUGUUGCAGGGGAAACUGCAGUGAAGGCGAAACACAUGUCUGAGUCACAGAAGCACACAGAUUAAGAAGUUUGAUAAAUCAGGUGACUGUGAACAACACAGACUUUAAGCCCUCAAUUCCACUUUUAGACUGUGACGGCGGAGGUAUGGACUCACCCAACCUGACGUUGUAAGAGAAGGGAGACAGAGCAAGAGACAUGGAGAAGAAUUUCCCUGGGCCUUGAACAUGCACAGGAGCAGAAGUUCAGGAUCAGUGAUGCCAGGUCGGAGAUAAGAAGUAGAUGCCAAGAAAUAGAGCUGAAGAAACCAAGGCAUAGAAAGUUUGAAUCUUGGACCCACGAUCACAUAGGAAAUCAGAGGAAACAACAGAAAGCUUGGACGUGCUCUGCCUCUAUCCCUCUCUGUCAGCAGCUCUUGCCAGAGCCCAGUGAUGCUGGCUGCACAUACAAAGGCGCUGCAGAUCAAUUUGUGGUGUUAAAGUGCUCAUGCCCUUUCCGGAGGAGCAUUGCCUUGAAUAUUUAACAGGGCAGAAACCCAUCAGAUUCAAGUUCUCUGGAUGGUGCUCGCCCAACACCUAUGGACAGGCACAAUAUUUCAAUGGUUUCAAGAAGGUAUCCUGGGAGAAGUGAACUGAAAUAUGGAGGAUGCCUUGGAAGAGGAAGGAGCUAGAAGAGAGCAUGGUGAAGUCUGUGGCCAGAGUGCUGUGGAUGGAGAAGGGAUGGAAGGAGGGAAUUCAGAAUUUCAGCGUCCCAGGAAAGCUUCGGUGUGCUAAAAGAGAAUGGAAGCAUUGAGAGCGUUUCACACGGCUCAGGAACCCUCCAAGAGGCGACGCCAGUUCUCCACGACAGUUACCUGUUCAACGGAACUUAACUAACACACCUGUGUAUCAUCCCUGCAACAUACACGGUAAUGAUUUCCUAUUUCUUUGUGGAAAACACAGCUGUUCCAGACUCUUCACAUGUAUCUAGUCCUCCCAAGUCCCAGUGAAAGUCUUCCUUGAGUUCUGCUUACUCCCCAAGAGAGAUCGCUGUGUUUACGGAGCAUCGUGUGUUCAGGCCAAGGUACAAGGAAAGCAAAUGUUCCGAGGAGGUGAUGAGAAAUGACCAGGAAGACACUUCACACUCAGUAGGCUAAGGUAGCCCAAGAUUAGGAAACCUCUAUCUUUCAAGGAAGACUGCUGGGAAACAUCCCAACAUUUACUCCAAAGGGAGGCAUUGCAUCUGUCCUGGUCCUGACCAACAAAUCUUUCCUCUCGUCUGGAGGAAGACACUAGCUCUGUGUUCUAAGGCUGUUUGCAAUACAAAUAUCCUUCAAAGGCUAGAGCAAUACUUGGUACAAGACAGGCAGAAAUGAGAGAGAUGUGUCUUGCUGCAAGGGAGAUGGCAGCAGCAAUGCUGCCGGUGGUGGUAUCUGGUACCCUGUGUCCCAGUGACUGCUCUGAAAUUAGAGCAAGGUGCUGCAGCCAAAACUUCAGCGGAUCUGUCCAGGCCUUCCCAAUUCCCUUUGCGGAGCAGAACUAGCAGCCCAGGAUUCAGCUGUAUUUUCUGAGCCAGCAGAUGAUGUUGGUGGAAGUAAGGAGAAUUCCUCCCUUUUGGAUGGCAGCUCCCCUAAAGAGAUAUGUUAUUGAAGUUAACCUGCAUAGGAAAAGAAACCCUCAGAAGCUUAUUAAAGUGAAGAACAAAAUUGAUGUUUGUCCCGAAUGUAGCCUGAAAGGGAAACAUACCCUUUCAGGUAUGCUAUGAGAAAGUGUGCAAGGAGACUGCAGAAAUCAGAGGACAGAUGGGGAAACCCAGGGGACUGUGGUCCCCCACAGCAGAGACGAUGGCCCUGCAGACGGGAGAGACCCAGUCUGAACACCACUCAGACAAGAGCAAUGUCGACAGAGACAGGAAUAGGCUGUUCUGGUUCACCCAGGACUGACACCAAAGAUGCUGAAAGGAUAACUCCGCAGGAAAAUAUUUCUUGUGAAACAGAGAAGGAAUCUUUGUUUUUAUGUUGUUGUGCUUGUUUUUAAACUAUCAAUCUGGUUUAAAUUGUAACUUGUAAGCAGUUAAUUUUGUGUGGGAUAAUUUGAAGCAUAUAUCAUGGGGGAACCUUGAAAAUGUCUAUGCAAAAGUUCAAUGGAUUAAUGUCUGUUUAUACCACACUGUCCAGUUUCAAAUAAACGUAACAUUUUUCAGAACAACAUUUUUUUAAAAAACUCACCGUAAGAAAAAGAAAGAAACAUGAGAGUUGCAUGGAAGAUUAGCCCCCAAAACUAUUAAUGAAUUGUUAAAAUUGUAUGAGAAAAUUUCCUGUGCAGUAUCUACUAUAGAGAAGAAAAUGAAUACAUUUUUCAUGAGUAAAUGGAUAAAUAAAAGAAUGAAUGAACAUAUGAUAGAUACUGGGAUGCAAAUGACUAGAAAUGUGUAACAUAGAAAAAUGGGAAAAUAGUUAUUACCUUUGGCUCUUGGAUAUGUAAUAUAAAUUUUAUGAAUCUUAUGUUUUUAUAUAUGAAAUAUGAAUCAUAACUCAAAUUCUGAUAAUUGUAUGAGAUUUUGUGUAUGUUUUUAUAUAAAUAUACAUAUUCAUAUAAAUACACAUUUUUAUGUACUUGUGCAUAUAAAUGUAUAGUGUUGCAUGUCACAUAUGAAAAAGGUAAACAGAUGGAUUCUUGCUUUAAAGUAAUAGAAGUAAGUUUGACAAACUUAAGCAGACAAAAGGGAGAAAACAUAGAUUAUCUUAUGAAACUCAGAUGUGAAAAUGUUUGUAGGCUCAAACAAUAUGGGAAAGCUUAUGUUUGACUAGCCAAAUAGAGAGACAGUAUUUCCUGUUGGUUUUAUUUGUACUUCUCGUUGAGGUGAUAGUCCUUGGUCUUCGUGCUUGAUGUUUGCUUUGGAUCAGUCGACUAUAUCCAAGAGCUGGUGCUGGUGGUGGGUGGCAGUGGGGGUGACACAUAGGAAGCUCCCUUCACGAGAAAACUCCUCUCACAAAGGGGAGGAUCAGGAAACUCUUGGACAAGAAGGGUUGACAGUAACCCCAAUAUAGAGUAGGGUUGAGUUGAGUGUCUGCGACUUGCAAACCAGAGUCUUGUGUAACACAGAGUUAUUAAGAAGAGACAGCUGAAUGGGAGUGAUGACCAGAAAUCAAGUUUUAGAAGCAAAGAGCAGUUUGCACAGUGCUAUAUCUGGAAAAGGAGAAAGAAUAAACAUACCCAAAGGAAUAGUUGGUUUUCUUACAUUGAAAUAAGUUGAGAGUGUAACAAGAGCGUGGACAUUUUUCUACGUUCCAUCUUAUUGGCCACUAGAACCCAGUUAAAUUUCAGAGUCUGUGUGAAGGAUGGACAGUAAAGGAGGUGGGUAUGGUAGGUGGACAGAGGAGUGAUGAGAAUUAAUCUUGGAAGAGCAAACAGGAUCCAGAUCAUGCAAAUAGCUGUGAAGCAUGCUUCAAUCUGACCCGUGAACAGUUAGAAGCCAUUUAGUGGAUUAUGUGCGAGAAUGGCAGGAUUCUUUAGGCACUGCUGAAACUUCACCCUCAGAAGCAGUGUAAAGAAUGUGAGAAAGGGACAUUGGAUACAUGGAAGGCCUUCGUGAGUUACUGUGGGAGAGCCGUCAUGAUUGCCUGGGCUAAGCUGGAAUCAGCCAUGAGGGACAGAGUGGAUGGACUCAGAGUCAGCUAGGGAUACUUCCAGGCUCCCAUGCCAAGUAGCUGGCUUGGUGGUUGAUUGAAUGUGAAGGAAAUGAGACCAAGGAGAGGAGGAUGACACAGCCCCAUAUUCACAUCGCAACCCGAGGGAAGGUCUCAAUCCAAGAGAGUGCUGCAGAAUUCCAGGCCUGUUUCUAUACACAGUUCGUUUUGUGCAAAUAUCCCAUGAUGCUUACUUAAUCUCCAAUAGUUUAAGAAGCAAGUGCAUUUAAAAAAUAAACUACAUUAAACUAAAAUAGAUUCCUCUUUUGAGGUAGCAUGAUUUUCAUGAAAAUGCCUGGGAUGGAGAAUGAGGUUGAGGGUGUGCCCUGGUUGAGGCUGUAAAAUAGCUGUGGCAUUCUCAUCUCUCUGGAGUUCAGUUUCUGUUCAUUUUUCAGAGGAAAAGAGAAUCAAAUAGCUGCACUACAAGUUCAUAGAAUUCAUGCAGGUAAAAUGAUGAAAUUUUAGAACGUUAAUUUGUUACUUUCCAGUUUUGUGAUCUUGGGCAAGUCACCCAAAAGUCAUAUUCUUCUUUACCUUUUGAAUCAAGACACUAAUGCAUAUCUUGUAUCUAUUUCUAUUAACUACAUAAGGAAAUCUCAGGAAUGUACUUAGAAAUGAGUAAUAUUAGAAUCAUUUUAAAUAUGAUUAUCUUUUUAUUUUAAAUGAGGAAAUAAAGUUUAGAACAUCGAAAGGUGUUUUAAGGGCUCACAAAUAGUACUCAAGACAGCUGGGCUUAGUUUCAGGUCUUCCUAACCUAAUUCCAGAGUUCAUCCAACAUAGCACAGGAAAUAGACCCAUAAUUUGGAAUAUCAGAGGAGAUACCACUCAAGGACCUGCUUGUCUCCAGGAGCAAAUGGGGAACCAGAGAUUUCCCACCAUGAAUCUCUGACCACACAGGCUUCCUUGGAAUUUUUACUUACCUUGUGUUCAGCAGGUAUAGACAAAAUACAUGAUAGUGUGAUAAUAAUUCAUAGAAGUUUUAAAGUCAGUUCAGAGGCAUCAAGGUAGAAACAAUGCCUUUUUUGUCAGGUAAAGAAAGAGCAGUUUCAACACUAGCAUAGACUUCCAAGCAUGGAUGAUGGAAUGGAAAUUAAUGAUUCAUUUACCAAAAGCCCUCCAGGCAGUAACUUGGAUCAAAUAUAUAGAAAAGAUGAAGCUGGGUCUCUAAUGUGGAUGGCAACUGCUAUUCAUAAUGGUCAAGAGAAAGGCAAUUUCUUGAAGUAAAUUUUGAUCUGUGCUGAGCAAUGGGGCAAAAUGGAAACAUUUGAAUGAUUUAAGAAGUUAAGGGGAAUUGGUCAAAGGAAGAGAAGCAGAUUCUCUUCUUUAAUUAUCUUAACUCACAAAUGGACUGCAUUUAAUUUCAUCUAAACUGGUGGUUUUAUGGAAAGACCACAGAAGUCAGCAUGUAAAGAUCCAGAUCUCAAACUUAGUUUUUUAAGUUGCAUGACCUCAAAUAAGUUGUGUAUACUGUGAGUGUCCAUUUCAUCUUGCAAAAAUGCAGUGGUUGGAUGCCUCUCUUAUUAACAUACAUGUCAAAAUUUUUGUUUAUUAAAUAAAUAAUGCUAA